AUGAACGCUAGCUACAGGCUUAACACAUGCAAGUCGAGGGGCAGCAUGGUCUUAGCUUGCUAAGACUGAUGGCGACCGGCGCACGGGUGAGUAACACGUAUCCAACCUGCCGUCUACUCUUGGACAGCCUUCUGAAGGGAAGAUUAAUACAAGAUGGCAUCAUGAGUCCACAUGUUCACAUGAUUAAAGGUAUUCCGGUAGACGAUGGGGAUGCGUUCCAUUAGAUAGUAGGCGGGGUAACGGCCCACCUAGUCUUCGAUGGAUAGGGGUUCUGAGAGGAAGGUCCCCCACAUUGGAACUGAGACACGGUCCAAACUCCUACGGGAGGCAGCAGUGAGGAAUAUUGGUCAAUGGGCGAGAGCCUGAACCAGCCAAGUAGCGUGAAGGAUGACUGCCCUAUGGGUUGUAAACUUCUUUUAUAAAGGAAUAAAGUCGGGUAUGCAUACCCGUUUGCAUGUACUUUAUGAAUAAGGAUCGGCUAACUCCGUGCCAGCAGCCGCGGUAAUACGGAGGAUCCGAGCGUUAUCCGGAUUUAUUGGGUUUAAAGGGAGCGUAGAUGGAUGUUUAAGUCAGUUGUGAAAGUUUGCGGCUCAACCGUAAAAUUGCAGUUGAUACUGGAUAUCUUGAGUGCAGUUGAGGCAGGCGGAAUUCGUGGUGUAGCGGUGAAAUGCUUAGAUAUCACGAAGAACUCCGAUUGCGAAGGCAGCCUGCUAAGCUGCAACUGACAUUGAGGCUCGAAAGUGUGGGUAUCAUACAGGAUUAGAUACCCUGGUAGUCCACACGGUAAACGAUGAAUACUCGCUGUUUGCGAUAUACGGCAAGCGGCCAAGCGAAAGCGUUAAGUAUUCCACCUGGGGAGUACGCCGGCAACGGUGAAACUCAAAGGAAUUGACGGGGGCCCGCACAAGCGGAGGAACAUGUGGUUUAAUUCGAUGAUACGCGAGGAACCUUACCCGGGCUUAAAUUGCAGAUGAAUUACGGUGAAAGCCGUAAGCCGCAAGGCAUCUGUGAAGGUGCUGCAUGGUUGUCGUCAGCUCGUGCCGUGAGGUGUCGGCUUAAGUGCCAUAACGAGCGCAACCCUUGUUGUCAGUUACUAACAGGUCAUGCUGAGGACUCUGACAAGACUGCCAUCGUAAGAUGUGAGGAAGGUGGGGAUGACGUCAAAUCAGCACGGCCCUUACGUCCGGGGCUACACACGUGUUACAAUGGGGGGUACAGAGGGCCGCUACCACGCGAGUGGAUGCCAAUCCCAAAAACCUCUCUCAGUUCGGACUGGAGUCUGCAACCCGACUCCACGAAGCUGGAUUCGCUAGUAAUCGCGCAUCAGCCACGGCGCGGUGAAUACGUUCCCGGGCCUUGUACACACCGCCCGUCAAGCCAUGGGAGCCGGGGGUAUCUGAAGUGCGUAACCGCGAGGAGCGCCCUAGGGUAAAACUGGUGACUGGGGCU
rnacentral:rRNA from 1 species